UUUAUAUAAAAAAAAGUUGUGGUAUGAUUGCCAAUGAGACAACUAUCCACAAAAGACCAAAAUGACACAGACAUUAACAACUAUAGGUCACCGUACGGCCUUCAACAAUGAGCAAAGCCCAUACUGCAUAGUCAGCUAUAAAAGGCCCCGAUAAGACAAUGUAAAACAAUUCAAACGAGAAAACUAACGGCCUUAUUUAUGUAAAAAAAUUAACGAAAAACAAAUAUGUAACACAUAAACAAACGACAACCACAGAAU
rnacentral:lncRNA from 1 species